rnacentral:lncRNA from 1 species
UUAAACUCAAUUUCAAGAGGAAAAAGCUCAACUCUUGAUGAUCCCACCUCUAUAUUGAGUGACUGAUUUGAACCAACGAUCCUUUGUUGUCCCUGGCUUUUGCUGCUAAAUCAUCCUCCUCCAACUUUAUAUCAUCACCGACUAAUGGAAUAGCAACAAAGAAAACACUUUUCCCUGAUUCAGCCAUUUUAGCAUUCUCUUUCAGGUCCAUGUUUUUAACCAUUGAUAGCAAAACAGUUUCUAGUGACUUCAAAUAUAGUAUUGUCUUGGCGCACUUGGAAAUGUUAGUUGUUGAAUCAAGCCAAAAAAUGGGCAAAAAGAAAUUUUGUGAUGAUAUGGAGUUGGUAAUGAUAUAGAGUUGGGGGAGGAUCAUCUAGCAACAAAAGCCAGGGACAACAAUUGGUCACUUGAUCAAAUCAACCACUAAAUUUAGGGGUUCAAAGUUUAUUUUAUUUUUUGAUACGACUAAUAAAACAGAGACAAUUCGAGGGUAUAAGGAGUGGUUAAACACUUUAAAGUGGCAAAACAAAUAACCGACCAAUCAGAGCGCGCCAUGUCAAUUAGGCAAAAGUGUUUAAACUUUGCUGAAAAGUGUUGGCAAUGGUUUAAACACUUGCUGAAGUGGCCUGUAGAGAUCAUUAAAGCAGAUAAAUAUGAGGUGCAAUAGGCUCUGUAACAUCGAUUAUGUUUCGCCAAAAUCGAUUACGAUUGGGUCGAGGAUUUGGGGAAUAACCGAUAGCGUUCACCAAAAUCAGGUAUAGGGUUUAGGGGUUUGACGCCAGGUAUUAUAGAACGGCUGAGGGUUUUGAUUGAGGUUACAUUGAAUCGGCUGAAAGUGUUGAUCGAGGUUGGACAACUUAGGGUUGGAAUGUUGGAUCGAGAUUCUUUUAAUAAGGUUUUGAUUUUAGUUAAUUAUUUUUGUUAAUCGUUUGCUUGAAAAUGACAUGUAAUUGGCACCUAAGCUCUUGAAAAUAUAUAUAUAUAUGAUCUCACAUGUAUCAAGGUAACCUGGAACCUAUUAAUCGACAAGAUUGAGACAUAUAUUGAAACUUCAAUGACUU